AUUGAACGCUGGCGGCAGGCCUAACACAUGCAAGUCGAGCGAGCGGCGGACGGGGGAGUAAUGUCUGGGAAACUGCCUGAUGGAGGGGGAGAACUACUGGAAACGGUAGCUAAUACCGCAUACCAUCAGAUGUGCCCAGAUGGGAUUAGCUAGUAGGUGGGGUAACGGCUCACCUAGGCGACGAUCCCUAGCGGGUCUGAGAGGAUGUCCAGCCCCACGGGUACUGAGUCACGGUCCAGACUCCUACGGUAGGCAGCAGUGGGAAAUAUUGCACAAUGGGCGCAAGCCUGAUGCUGCCAUGCCGCGUGUGUGAAGAAGGCCUUCGUGUUGUAAAGCACUUUCAGCGGGGAGGCGUUACCCGCAGAAGAAGCACCGGCUAACUCCGUACCAGCAGCCGCGGUAAUAC
rnacentral:rRNA from 1 species